UACGUAGGUGACAAGCGUUGUCCGGAUUUACUGGGCGUAAAGAGCGCGCAGGCGGUCGUUCAAGUCGCGUGUGAAAGCCCCCGGCUCAACUGGGGAGGGUCACGCGAUACUGAUCGACUCGAAGGCAGGAGAGGGUAGUGGAAUUCCCGGUGUAGUGGUGAAAUGCGUAGAUAUCGGGAGGAACACCAGUGGCGAAGGCGACUACCUGGCCUGUUCUUGACGCUGAGGCGCGAAAGCUAGGGGAGCAAACGGGG
rnacentral:rRNA from 1 species